rfam:Trichobilharzia regenti genome assembly, scaffold: TRE_scaffold0002589
AUCCGUCUGACGAGUACCCAAUUAGGACGAAAUGCGCAUCCUGGAU